GUCUGCUUGACGUCCACAUUAGUUGAACAACGUCCUGUUAUUCGUUUCUUAUUUGAUGAAGGCGAGAAACCAGUUCUAAAACGGAGGAUGAGUGGACCACAACUGCAAACGAUUUUGAAAGGAAAUGGAAUUUUCCACACUAUCCUGGAUGUAUUGAUGUAAAGCUUAUAGAGAUUGUGUCUCCAGCAGGAAGUGAUUCAUUUUAUUGUGGUCUUUUACGCACUUCAGCAACAUACGAGGGUUAUCCAGAAACUACGAUUAGCCAGCUGGGGUGGCCAAGCUGUUCUAGGUGCUACAGUCUGAAAACGCGCUACCGCUACGGUCGCUGGUUCGAAUCCUGCCUCGGUAUCUGUACACACAACCAGAAGUCCAAAGAAAAAUUUAAGGACCAGUAAUAAGUGUUUAUUUGCAAUACAGAUCACAAGCGAAGCUCACUGAUGAAAUCAUGUGGUACAUCUUUUGUUUAAAUUUACUGCCUGUAAGUACAUAGCAGCUGUGAGUAUAUAUGUGUAAC